UACGGGGGGGGCAAGCGUUGUUCGGAAUUACUGGGCGUAAAGGGCGCGUAGGCGGUUUGUUAAGUUGGAUGUGAAAACUCUGGGCUUAACCCAGAGCCUGCAUCCAAAACUGGCAGGCUAGAGUUUUGGAGGGGGAAGCGGAAUUCCUGGUGUAGCAGUGAAAUGCGUAGAUAUCAGGAGGAACACCGGUGGCGAAGGCGGCUCCCUGGACAAAAACUGGACGCUGAGGCGCGAAAGCCGGGAGGCGAAACGGG
rnacentral:rRNA from 1 species